rnacentral:rRNA from 2 species
CAUCCUCCAAGGCUAAAUACUCCUGACUGACCGAUAGUGAACCAGUACCGUGAGGGAAAGGCGAAAAGAACCCCGGCGAGGGGAGUGAAAAAGAACCUGAAACCGUGUACGUACAAGCAGUGGGAGCACCCUUUGGGGUGUGACUGCGUACCUUUUGUAUAAUGGGUCAGCGACUUAUAUUCUGUAGCAAGGUUAACCGAAUAGGGGAGCCGGAGGGAAACCGAGUCUUAACCGGGCGUUAAGUUGCAGGGUAUAGACCCGAAACCCGGUGAUCUAGCCAUGGGCAGGUUGAAGGUUGGGUAACACUAACUGGAGGACCGAACCGACUAAUGUUGAAAAAUUAGCGGAUGACCUGUGGCU